AAUUAGCACCGGUUUGAACCGGUGCCAUUUAAAAAAAAAAUCCCGGUUUAAGGCGCGUCUUCUUCUUCAUUUCCUUGCUCUUUCCUCUUCGUUCUCAUCUGAUCUACCUCUCUCUCUCCUCCAUUGUAGCGUACUCGAAUUUCUCCAUUGAAGGGGCUUCUGAGCUUUCCUAACACUCCGUCUCUCUCCUUCAAUCUCCUUCUUCAUAACCGUCACUUUCCCUUUCCUUUCUUCUCUCUUUCGAUCUCCUUCUCUUUCUCUCUUUCUACAAUAUUGGAGGUUAGGGUUUCUAGGUGCGUCUAUUUGAAUCAAUUCGAUGUGCGUGCGUCUUCAACAACAACAAAUUCGAUUCAAAUAUGAACCAAAAAUCAGAAAUUCGAGAAAUAUUAAAGAUCUGAUAUGCUUGGUGGUUUUGGGCAAUUCUAGAACUGCACAGCAUACGGAUUUUCCUGACUGUAGAACUUCUAUAUUUAUCUUAUGGUAAAGGAUACUGGUGAAGGUCAUCUUCACAGAGCUUAGUAGGAAAGAGGCAUAGCAACAGCUUGAUGAGAUGAAGUGUGCCCUUAUAUUGUCGUCUAGCAUGAAGUCCAAGGGUGAUCAUUCAUCAUAUUCCCAUGAAAGUUUUGUGCAUUCAGAUUCUAGGUUGUCAACCUGUGAUCCUAGACAACCCUACUCACAAUAUUCAAGCCCCUCGUUGGGACUUCAAACUGAUUUUGGGACAGGCUCUUGGAUUGGGCCUCCUAGACAUGCUUCGCUGCUAAACCCUGCCAACCAAAUAAAGGAUAUACAGGGGUGGAGCAUUCUGUCGCAUUAGAGGCAAUGCAGCCUCGUCCUUACAACAAUGUGAGUAGAGAGUUUUGCGAACCCCAUAUUCAAGGCCUCAGGGAAGUUACCCUGCUAAUGUGCGACAUCCUGGAUAUGCACUAUACCAUCUUCCUAAUUCUUGGGAAUCGAGGUAUUACUUAAUUUUGCAGAUCAUGGAGACUGAUGUGUAAAUGUUGUGUGGACAAGUCUUUUUAACUCUUUAUUUAUGCGCCAUUUGAUCCUUUUUGUUCUUCCUAUUUAGACCUUUUUUGUCUCGCAAAAAGAUUUCAAAUGGAAAGAACAAAACGGAUCCGCUGUAGUAUUGUAAAUUGUUAGUGACAUAUCUUGCCUAGUAUUAAUUGUAUAGUCUGAAUGUUUGUUACACAUUUUGAUGUACACAUUGUGAACAUAUACUCAUUAACCUAAUUUAAAUUUGUGGUAAACUUGCCUAAUUAUCCCAAAUCAUAGCCUCUUUUAGGGGUGAGCAAUACCGGGUACCCGGUCAAAAACUAAGGACUCGGUCCCGGAACCGUUUUUAUCCGGGUCCAGAAUUUUGGAACUGGUCCCGGAACUGGUCCCGGAACUGGUUAGCACCGGGUCCGAAAUUUCAGAUCCGGAACUGGAACUGGUGGGAACCGGUUCCAGAACCGGGUACCCGGUAUUCAUUAUUAUAAAUGAACUCCAGAUUUAGCCAUUAAGCUUUAAAAAAAAAAAUUAAGAAAAGAGUAUACCAAACAUCCAAACUUUAGAACAAAAUGAAAACCUCAAAAAUUAAAUGAAAAUCCAAAUAAUCUUAAUUUUUCCUUACAUGCAUUAUUCGAAAUUCAUACAAAAUCAACCCAAAAUACUAAUUAUAUGAGAACUUGUUCAUCUUCAAAGCAUGGAAUGAUACUCCGUAACUUGUUAAUUCUUCCUCUUAAAUCGUUCAUCUCAAAUCGUUUCAUAAAAAAUAAUAAAAAUAAAUAAAUAAAUAAAAACAAAUGGGUAGGAAGGUGAGGAAAAAUGGAUUUUAGAAGUAAGAAUUUGAGAAGAAGAAGAUAUGAGUUUAUGAUCUACAAAAUUGAAAAGAAGAAGUAUCAUUAGAUUAUGGACUUGAUGUAAAAAGUUGAAUACUCAUGAAUUUGAGUGACGGCUGAAAAAAGAACAUGAGUAAUUUUAGGGUUAAUACUCCUUAUAAAGGUUGGAAAUAAGAGUAAGUGAGCUAGUGGGCUAGAGAUUCUAAAGCCCAAUGUUAAAUUUAUGUUCUAAAAAUCCACGAAUGCACAUGACUAUAUAACUGGAACCGGGUACCCACUGGGUACCGGGUGCAAAUAUUCAAGAAUUGGAACCGGAAUCGGUUAUAACCGGGUCCUGAUUUUUGGACCCGGAAUCGGAACCAGUGGGACCAGAUCCAGUUCUGGACCCGGCAGGUCCUAACCGGUUCCAAGUCCAGGACUGGGUACCCACUUUUUUCGCUCACCCCUAGCCUCUUUCAGCAAUCUCAUCUCACAAUGUAAAUCAGCUCAUUCCCAAAAUAACUAUGUUUCAUAACAAUCGUCUGAGUUGUUUAGUUGUCUUUUAAUGCGAAACAACUAAUAGUAACGGAAACUUGCAGAGACAUGAGCAAAAUUACAGAAAGCAAUAGUGAAAACCCUAGAAAGCUCAUUAUAGACAAACCAAGUACUUUUAGAAACUUAAAGGAUCACUAGGGAAGAAAAGAGUAUAAUUGUUACUUAAUCAAACCAACAUUUGCUAAUUUGUCGUAUAAUCUAAACAUUGUCUAUGCUUCCCUUCCAUUUCUCAUUAAUUUUUGCUACAUACGAGAAGCGCUUCCAGAAUGUUGGAAGGUAAAUAUGAUAUUUGUUUAUUUGACCCCCCUUAAUUUAUCUUUUUUUUCGUGAAUCCUUGGUUGAUGGGGCUUGCUUUUAUUUAUUUUUUUAUCUUUCUUGGAUGUAUCUUCAUUUGUUUGGAAAUGGUUUUGUUUCAAUGCUUCAUAUAUAGGUUUAGCCUUGUAUUUGAUUUCUAGCUGGUUCUUCUGGUUCAGGCUAUUGUUUUGGGCUGGAUUAGGUUUGUGUUGCUGGCAGGUGCCUGGUCUUGAUGGUGCUGGCCUGGUCUGUUGUUGCUGGCCAUGUUUCUGUCUAGUGGUGUAGUGUUGUUUUAUUUUCUGGUUGUUGGUGCUAUUUCUUUUGCUUGCUGCUGGUUCUGCUUGCCUUUGUGUUUUCUGCUUGCUAUUGUUGUUGUUAUUGGCAACUUGUGUUCCUGUAUGUUGUUGCAGUCUUGCUAGCUGCUUGUUGGUCUCUGGUUUGCUGCAUGUGAGGCUGCUGGGAGCAGGCUGCUGUUUUUGCUGCUUUUCCUUGCCAGUUGGUGCUGUAAUGCUCUGGCAGCUGCUGCGUUGAUUUCUGACUAUGCAGUCAAGUCUUAUUUUGUUUAUAUUGGUGUUCGGCUGUUUACCUAUUUUGCCGGCAUAUAGUUUUAAUAUUCUUGCAUAUUGAUGCGACAGAGCUGUUGUUUUCCUAUUUUGUUUUGAAAGUUAACAGAAAAAAUGAAAAUAUGUAACUUUAUAUAUAUGUUAAUGUUUAUAU